UUAAGGAGUUAAGGGAGAAAUGCAGUCACUGAUCGGGUGAAGACCUCUGAAGAGGAUAUUGAGGCCCUUAAACAGAGACUGUCAUCAUGCUCUAUACUACACUGAGCGACAGAUCUAGACACAACCACUUAAAAGUCAGAGGCAUACCUGACGCUGUCACACCAGAAGAGCUCCCACACUAUGUAAGGCGUCUCAUAGCUUCAGUCUUACAACCAAGCCAGGCCAAGAGGUUUUCCUUGGACGGAACGUAUCGUCUCCCAAAAUCUGUAAGAGCGCCUACCUCUGCAAUACGCGACGUCAUCGUCCGCUGCUCUCUAGCCCAAGAUAAAAGAAUUCUACUAACAGCACUGAAGGGCAAGACACCUCUUACCUUUGAAGGCUCUGAGCUUACAUUCUAUCAAGACCUCACCCGGUCCACCCUACAGUGGAGGUGGUCUUUGAAUCCUGUUACAAGCCAAUUGAGAGGAUGGAUGGAUGUCGAC